CACCUCUUCUAUGAAAUCAAUAUACGUAGUCCCCCUUCUAGUCGCUAGGUGGCACCACAGCUUUAAAGCAGAGCCAAAAAACUGUGGAAUAACUUACCAUGGACGGUAUAUUCGCCAUCUAUGGUCUUAACCUCAUUCCUCUUUUUGUGCUUUGGUGGCACAUGUUCAUUUUUAUUCGGCGUCGGUGUUUUCAGCUUUUUUCAGCGUUUUUGGAAGUUAAAUGGAGAAGUACAAGUGAGAUUUACGUUAUUCCUUAUCGGAUGAAGAAAGAACCUACCUACGACGAAAGAUUAAAUCUUUCCAUCCGCGAUUACAUAAUCGCUAGUGGCGUGGUUCCCAUCAACGAGAUUUUCUUACAAUUGGGAGACGAAGACCCCCCAUCUUUCCCACUUAUACGACAGCAGUCGUAUGUAAGUGUUUCACAAUUGGAAGCAAUCCUUUUGUGAGGGGGUCGGCCAUACAUAUGGUUUUAUAUUUUUUCGACAUCGAAAAAAUAGAGUUUUCUGGCUCGUCCGGCUAUGGAUGAGGCGCCCGGGAUACUGGGACAUAAUGAACAAUUUUUUAUGGCUGUUGGAAUGCAUUUACUCCAUCGUAAGUAUAUUUUUUAGGCCCUUCAAUUAAUUCUGAUGUCAUUGUUGAGCCCCUUGAGACGGAUUUAAAGCAAAAUGGCCUUUAAGCUAUGGGGUCGAUAGUCCCAACACAAAGUUUGAUGUGUCAUGACAUUUUGGCAAGUCAGAUUAAUACCUUUUUGAAAUCCGGUGUGUCCGAAGAUUGUCUCAGUGACCUUUUGCGUUGAUAUCCUGUGCCGAAGAAUUGCCCGCUCAAUAACUCUCCUAAAUUGAAUGUGCAGAUGAAAUCUGCCAUCAACAAAGGUGGAAAGAAAAGGGAUGAGAGACUGACUGCAACAAGGGGUGCUUUGAUGGUGGUUGGUAGGACGCUCUUGACCUUGCUUUUGAAACCGGUUAAGGAUGAGUAGUACUUACUUCUCAUCGAAAUGUUGAGUAAUGCAAUAUUUGUUUUAAGCAAAAUACACCAUUUAGGUUCAGUAUAUAGAAGUUCAGCCGCGUUAAGCCUUUCGCUGGUCUCAAAUGAAAUGCAGCCUUGUAUGAAGGAAGUGCUCGUUGAUGCUUCUUUGCACUCUUGUUUAUAUGGAGAAGAUUUGGCUGAUAGGCUCAAAUCAAUCAGAUUAGCUGCAGAUUAGUGGCCGAGUUAAAGUCAGGUGCAUCCGGAACAAGGUUUUUAUAGCAUACAAAUUUAAACUCGACCGUCCCACUUCGUUUCCGGAAGUUGCAAGGCUGAAGUGGGUGAAAGUCAUUGUACCCUCAAAAGAGGGAAUACAGGAAGGUUCGAGAGGAAAGGGGGUGGAGUUGUGUCCCCAGGAAAAAAUAAACUCGACAUGCCUCAACAUCGUCUGCGUUUUGUAAAGGUGUUUCAAUUGAUAUGAUUGGAAAAACGGCAGAUUGGUGAGAAUGCUCUAAAUGUUUUCCCCUUUUUUAUAAUAGACCUAUUUGUACAGCAAGUGCAGGCCUUUUUGUUAAUGCCACAUUUGGGACAUAGAAUUUUUCAGAAGGUUUAAAAAAAUUGACAAAAGGCAAGUUAUAAUGGAAUCUUUUAGAAUUCGGAAAAUGGCGACUGGAAUAUCUAGAAAAAAUUAGGAUUUACAGAGAACAACAAAGGGCAAUAAUUUACUUGGAGGAAACCUGUUUCGACACUUACGAUACCCCGGAAAAGGGUUGGGUUAACUCAACUGAUAAGUGUAAAACAAACGCGCCAUCAAAAAGAGGUUUGAAGUUCACCAUGGGGCUUUUGUUAUACGAGCCCCGCGAAGAGGGGUAUGCUUAUUACAAAUUUCAACAAUAUUUUGCGUUACAAAGUGGACCUUAUCAUUUAUAUUUUGUGCCAGUGCAAGUCAAUAUUGAACUGCUCAAUAUUUAUAUGUUUUAGGUCCUAUAAGUAAGAGUGAUUUAUGAAGGAAGGGUCAAUUAAAGUUUCAGAAUGUUCAGUAAUUCGAGCAGGUUCAGUUAACAUUUUCUCCACUCAUGCAAAGUUAAAAAGAAUGAUGAUAUUAUUGAACGAUGGGACAAUAUAUGACAUUAUAUUGUCGAGGACGUCAACAGCUCGGUCGACACAGCCCCCAGGUAGAUUAUCCGGAAUAAUAUAGACUAAAAGACACUUUUAACGAAAUAUGUUCUGUAAUCUGAUUUUUUGUGAUUUAAGCCCCACCUCAAACUAAUCGCAAUGAGAAAUUGUUAUAUAUAUUAAAUACUUUUUAUUUUAACCUCGAUUUUAAAUAUUUUUAUAAUAUAUUUGUUUAGUUUUAGGAACAUUAAAAUAUGUCCGCC